GACGAACGCUGGCGGCGUGCUUAACACAUGCAAGUCGAACGAAGUGGCGAACGGGUGAGUAAUGCGUAAUCAACCUGCCCUUCAGAGGGGGACAACAGUUGGAAACGACUGCUAAUACCGCAUACUGAAGAAGGGGUUUGCGUCGGAUUAGCUAGUUGGAGGGGUAACGGCCCACCAAGGCGAUGAGCAGUAGCCGGGCUGGAAGGGUGAAUGGCCACAUUGGGAAUGGGGAAAGGCCCAGACUCCUACGGGGAGGAGGAAGGGGGGAACAUCCGAAAUGGGCGAAAGUCUGAAGGAGCAACGGCGGGGGAGUGGUGGCGGCCUUCGGGUUGUAAAGCUCUGUUAAUCGGGACGCGGUACCGGAAUAGAAAGCCACGGCUAACUACGUGCCAGCAGCCGCGGUAAUAC
rnacentral:rRNA from 1 species